rnacentral:rRNA from 1 species
UGGAGGCAGCAGUAAGGAAUCUUGCACAAUGGGGGAAACCCUGAUGCAGCGACGCCGCGUGAGCGAUGAAGCCCUUCGGGGUGUAAAGCUCUUUCGGCAGGGACGAAAACCGACGGUACCUGCAGAAGCAGCUGCGGCUAACUACGUGCCAGCAGCCGCGGUAAUACGUAGGCAGCAAGCGUUGUUCGGAGUUACUGGGCGUAAAGGGUGCGUAGGCGGCCUCUUAAGUUUGGUGUGAAAUCUCCCGGCUCAACUGGGAGGGUGCGCCGGAAACUGAGAGGCUAGAGUGUGGGAGAGGAGAGUGGAAUUCCUGGUGUAGCGGUGAAAUGCGUAGAUAUCAGGAGGAACACCGGUGGUGCAAACGGCUCUCUGGACCACUACUGACGCUGAGGCACGAAAGCGUGGGGAGCAAACAGGAUUAGAUACCCCGGUAGC